UGGGGAAUUUUCCGCAAUGGGCGCAAGCCUGACGGAGCCAUACCGCGUGAGGGAAGAAGGCUUUUGGGUUGUAAACCUCUUUUCUCAGGGAAGAAGAAAGUGACGGUACCUGAGGAAUCAGCAUCGGCUAACUCCGUGCCAGCAGCCGCGGUAAUACGGAGGGAGCUAGCGUUGUUCGGAAUUACUGGGCGUAAAGCGCGCGUAGGCGGCGUAUCAAGUCAGGGGUGAAAUCCCGGGGCUCAACCCCGGAACUGCCCUUGAAACUAGUAUGCUAGAAUCCUGGAGAGGCGAGUGGAAUUCCGAGUGUAGAGGUGAAAUUCGUAGAUAUUCGGAAGAACACCAGUGGCGAAGGCGACUCGCUGGACAGGUAUUGACGCUGAGGUGCGAAAGCGUGGGGAGCAAACAGGAUUAGAUACCCGCGUAGUCC
rnacentral:rRNA from 1 species